UGGGGAAUAUUGGACAAUGGGGGAAACCCUGAUCCAGCCAUGCCGCGUGCGUGAAGAAGGCCUUAGGGUUGUAAAGCGCUUUCGGCGGGGAAGAUGAUGACGGUACCCGCAGAAGAAGCCCCGGCUAACUCCGUGCCAGCAGCCGCGGUAAUACGGAGGGGGCUAGCGUUGUUCGGAAUUAUUGGGCGUAAAGAGCUCGUAGGCGGUUGCGUAAGUCGGAUGUGAAAACUCAGGGCUCAACCCUGAGACGCCAUCCGAUACUGCGCUGACUUGAAUCCAGUAGGGGAGUGUGGAAUUCCUGGUGUAGCGGUGAAAUGCGCAGAUAUCAGGAGGAACACCCAUGGCGAAGGCAGCACUCUGGGCUGGUAUUGACGCUGAGGAGCGAAAGCAUGGGUAGCGAACAGGAUUAGAUACCCUCGUAGUCCCUGAGCGGGCUGGCAAGGCGCAU
rnacentral:rRNA from 1 species